CCUAUGGGCGGCUGCAGUAGGGAAUAUUGGUUAAUGGGCGAAAGCCCGACCCAGCAACGCCGCGUGCACGAAGAAGGCCUUCGGGUUGUAAAGUGCUUUUUAGUGGGAUGAGGACGGACAGUCCCACUAGAAUCAGUCUCGGCUAACUACGUGCCAGCAGCCGCGGUAACACGUAGGAGACGAGCUUUCUCCGGAUUUACUGGGUGUAAAGCGCGUGCAGGCGGUCGGGUAAGUUGGAUGUGAAAGCUCCUGGCUUAACUGGGAGAGGUCGUUCAAAACUGCCGGGCUAGAGUGCAACAGAGGGGAGUGGAAUUCCGAGUGUAGCGGUAAAAUGCAUAGAUAUUCGGAAGAACACCAGUGGCGAAGGCGGCUCUCUGGGUUGCAACUGACGCUCAGACGCGAAAGCUAGGGUAGCGAACGGGAUUAGAUACCCCAGUAGUC
rnacentral:rRNA from 1 species